rnacentral:rRNA from 1 species
GCGGUGGAGCAUGUGGUUUAAUUCGACGCUACGCGAAGAACCUUACCUGGGCUUGAACUGCUGGUGGUAGAAGCCCGAAAGGGUAACGACCCGGAGCAAUCCGGGAGCCAGUAGAGGUGCUGCAUGGCUGUCGUCAGCUCGUGUCGUGAGAUGUUGGGUUAAGUCCCGCAACGAGCGCAACCUUACCCUUAGUUGCCAGCGGGUAAUGCCGGGCACUCUAAGGGGACCGCCCCGGAUAACGGGGAGGAAGGCGGGAUGACGUCAAGUCAGCAUGGCCUUUAUGUCCAGGGCUACACACGUGCUACAAUGGGCGAUACAGAGGGAAGCAAGGCCGCAAGGUAGAGCUAAUCCCUAAAGUCGUCCUCAGUUCGGAUUGCAGGCUGCAACUCGCCUGCAUGAAGUCGGAAUCGCUAGUAAUCGCGGAUCAGCUACGCCGCGGUGAAUACGUUCUCGGGCCUU